GUCCACGCCAUAAACGAUGAGGACUAGACGUUGAGAGGGUUAGCCUCCCAGUGUCGUAGCUAACGCGCUAAGUCCUCCGCCUGGGGAGUACGGCCGCAAGGUUGAAACUCAAAGGAAUUGACGGGGACCCCGCACAAGCGGUGGAGCAUGUGGUUUAAUUCGAUGCAACGCGAAGAACCUUACCUGGUCUUGACAUCUACGGAAUCCCGCAGAAAUGCAGGAGUGCCGCAAGGAACCGUAAGACAGGUGCUGCAUGGCUGUCGU
rnacentral:rRNA from 1 species